AUGUAUUUAAAUAAAAUUACAAACACUACAAGGAAUUUCAUCUUUUGCGGGGUGCGAGCUCACCGCAAUUCCCCUAAUUUCUCGCAGCAAAAUUACACACGCUGCGAUUUCCAUUCACCGCAAAUCGGCCGGGAGUAAUACGUCUGGUCAGAGCAAUUUCGGUGAAAAGUGAAGUUGGCCGCUGUUCCUACAGAUUUUACCGCCGAUCUUUCUCGCAGCACAAGUCGAUGGACAAAUACGGUUUGAAGGGCAAUUUCGGCUGGGACAUCGUCGGAAAUCGUGGUCAUUUCUGGCCAAUUUUUGGGCACCACAAUUGCAGAUUUCGGCGACUUUUGGGGCACCGAAAUUACUGAAGAUGUUGCUGCCGACAUCUCCCGCAGCAACCACGAUCGAUCCCAAAUUGGUUUGAAGAGCAAUUACUGCCAAAUUGCUCGGACGCCGCCAUUAUGGACAUACGGAGAGUUUGGGUCACCGCAAAAGGGAACUUCAAAUUUUGUCAAUUAAAACCCAAAAUCUCGUCAUUUUCCAAUUGCGGUGAAUUUGGUUAUGCCAUAAUUGGUAGUAGUGCAUGCGGGAAGAGUGAAUCCGCAGCAAAUGCCAUUUGUUCAGCCUUUCAAAAUCAUGGGUACGUAUUUGCGGUGAAAUAUUUAUUAGUAGUGUUUUCAAACCAACACAAAAACUGGUUGGAGGAUUUACGCCAAACUCAUGGAAAUUACCCUGGUUAUAAUUUUUAUGCUUUUUCAAAUACAUUGAAAGGUAUUAUAUAUGAUUGGAACUGGAUCUCAGAAACCAACCCAGACAUGGGUAUUUCCAUGUGGUGAACAAUGACUAUAAACAGCCAAGGGAACAGCUUUCUCGCCCCCAACAAAAAUGUAACAAGGAGGUUACCAAACACGAGGAUGCACCACAGAGCCACUGGAAGAACUGGAACUGGAGCAUGUAGGAAAAUACUUACAUGGAUCUCUUAGUGCUUAAAAGUAAAAGUCCGACUGCUCCACCGAGUGAAAGACCGACUCUGGAGGGAAAAUCCAAAUUUGUUUGGUUUCUGAGAUGAGGAUCAACUCACGCAUGGAUUUUCGGAUGCCUCAUCAUGCCACUUAUCGAAUAGUCAUUGUUCCCUUCUCGGUGCAGACCAAUUUCUAAAUGUACUGCAGCUUUAUAUUUAUAUUAUAUCAUGACAAGAAUAGUUCAUGUCAGUAGGGUAAAAUGUAAUUAUAUAUAUAUAUAUAUAUGACAUACAUAAAUAUUGUUUAUGUCUCUAUUGAGAAUCUUAUGGCUUAAGUAUAAGAGCACAUACAUAUUUUGUAUU